GACGAACGCUGGCGGCGUGCUUAACACAUGCAAGUCGAACGGAAAGGCCCCCUUGUGGGGUACUCGAGUGGCGAACGGGUGAGUAACACGUGAGUAACCUACCCUUGACUUUGGGAUAACUUCAGGAAACUGGGGCUAAUACCGGAUAGGAGCUCCUGCUGCAUGGUGGGGGUUGGAAAGUUUCGGCGGUUGGGGAUGGGCUCGCGGCUUAUCAGCUUGUUGGUGGGGUAGUGGCUCACCAAGGCUUUGACGGGUAGCCGGCCUGAGAGGGUGACCGGCCACAUUGGGACUGAGGUACGGCCCAGACUCCUACGGGAGGCAGCAGUGGGGAAUAUUGCACAAUGGGCGGAAGCCUGAUGCAGCAACGCCGCGUGCGGGAUGACGGCCUUCGGGUUGUAAACCGCUUUCGCCUGUGACGAAGCGUGAGUGACGGUAAUGGGUAAAGAAGCACCGGCUAACUACGUG
rnacentral:rRNA from 1 species